rnacentral:rRNA from 1 species
UACGAAGGGGGCUAGCGUUGCUCGGAAUCACUGGGCGUAAAGGGUGCGUAGGCGGGUCUUUAAGUCAGGGGUGAAAUCCUGGAGCUCAACUCCAGAACUGCCUUUGAUACUGAGGAUCUUGAGUUCGGGAGAGGUGAGUGGAACCGCGAGUGUAGAGGUGAAAUUCGUAGAUAUUCGCAAGAACACCAGUGGCGAAGGCGGCUCACUGGACCGAUACUGACGCUGAGGCGCGAAAGCGUGGGGAGCAAACAGG